AUUGAACGCUGGCGGCAGGCCUAACACAUGCAAGUCGAGCGGAUGAAGGGAGCUUGCUCCUGGAUUCAGCGGCGGACGGGUGAGUAAUGCCUAGGAAUCUGCCUGGUAGUGGGGGAUAACGUCCGGAAACGGGCGCUAAUACCGCAUACGUCCUGAGGGAGAAAGUGGGGGAUCUUCGGACCUCACGCUAUCAGAUGAGCCUAGGUCGGAUUAGCUAGUUGGUGGGGUAAAGGCCUACCAAGGCGACGAUCCGUAACUGGUCUGAGAGGAUGAUCAGUCACACUGGAACUGAGACACGGUCCAGACUCCUACGGGAGGCAGCAGUGGGGAAUAUUGGACAAUGGGCGAAAGCCUGAUCCAGCCAUGCCGCGUGGGUGAAGAAGGUCUUCGGAUUGUAAAGCACUUUUAGUUGGGAGGAAGGGCAGUAAGUUAAUACCUUGCUGUUCUGACGGUACCAACAGAAUAAGCACCGGCUAACUUCGUG
rnacentral:rRNA from 1 species